ACUCUAAUUCACAACAAGAAGCGUAGUGGCAGCAGCAACAACAAGAGAGUUAACAUCAACGUGAAUAUGAGUAUUAAUCCGUUGUUUAGGAGUGAUUCGUUAGGUUAUUAUUCUCAUUACUGCUGCAACCCUCACGAGCAGCAGAGUUACACAUUGAUGGAGAAGAGGCAACUGUUUCUUAGAAGCUAUCAAUUCACACGAAAAAAGAGCUUUUCUGAGAGAAUCAAAAGGUGUUUGAUUCGAGUGAAGAGAGUUGUUUUACGAUCUGCUAGGAAACUCAAGAGUAUUAAAUGUGGUUUCUAUUACAGAAGAUAUAGGAACAAGUAUAGCAAAAGCAACUACUCCUCGUGUUUAUGUUAA